CAGGCCUAACACAUGCAAGUCUACGAGAAAAGAGAGCAAUAUUCUGACUAAAGUGGCGCACGGCUGCGUAACACGUAGGCAAUUACCUUUGGGUUCGGAAUAACUCCGAGAAAUCGGGGCUAAUACCGGAUGUGCAGCGGCACCGCAUGGUGAUGUUGUUAAAGUUCUUGUAACGCCUAUAAUGAGCUUGCGUCUGAUUAGCUAGUUGGUGAGGUAAAGGCCCACCAAGGUACGAUCAGUAGCUGGUCUGAGAGGAUGAUCAGCCACACUGGAACUGAGCACGGUCCAGACUCCUACGGGAGGCAGCAGUGAGGAAUAUUGGGCAAUGUCGAAAGACUGACCCAGCAACGCCGCGUGGAGGAUGAAUGUCGUAAGAUGUAAACUCCUGUUAGAGGGGAAG
rnacentral:rRNA from 1 species